UACGUAGGAGGCAAGCGUUGUCCGGAAUUACUGGGCGUAAAGCGCGUGUAGGUGGUGGGACAAGUCUGCUGUGAAAGCGCCUGGCUUAACCGGGCGAGGUCGGCGGAAACUGUCCGACUCGAGGACGGUAGAGGGGGGUGGAAUUCCCGGUGUAGUGGUGAAAUGCGUAGAGAUCGGGAGGAACACCUGUGGCGAAGGCGGCCCCCUGGCCGGCCCUGACACUGAGACGCGAAGGCGUGGGGAGCGAACGGG
rnacentral:rRNA from 1 species